ACUCCUACGGGAGGCAGCAGUGGGGAAUAUUGCACAAUGGGCGCAAGCCUGAUGCAGCCAUGCCGCGUGUAUGAAGAAGGCCUUCGGGUUGUAAAGUACUUUCAGCAGUGAGGAAGGUAGUGUAGUUAAUAGCUGCAUUAUUUGACGUUAGCUGCAGAAGAAGCACCGGCUAACUCCGUGCCAGCAGCCGCGGUAAUACGGAGGGUGCGAGCGUUAUCCGGAUUUAUUGGGUUUAAAGGGUCCGUAGGCGGGUUAAUAAGUCAGUGGUGAAAUCCCAUCGCUUAACGAUGGAACUGCCAUUGAUACUGUUAGUCUUGAAUGAGGGUGCAGUGGUUGGAAUGUGUAGUGUAGCGGUGAAAUGCAUAGAUAUUACACAGAACACCGAUUGCGAAGGCAGAUCACUAACCCUAAAUUGACGCUGAGGGACGAAAGCGUGGGGGAGCAAACAGGAUUAGAUACCCUGGUAGACUGUC
rnacentral:rRNA from 1 species